rnacentral:rRNA from 1 species
CAGAGACUGCAAGCGUUAUUCGGAUUCACUGGGCGUAAAGGGUGCGCAGGCGGCCAGGUGCGUGAGGCGUGAAAGCCCGGGGCUUAACCCCGGAAUUGCACCUCAAACUACAUGGCUAGAGCAUUGGAGAGGGUAGCAGAAUUCAUGGUGUAGCAGUGAAAUGCGUAGAUAUCAUGAGGAAUACCAGAGGCGAAGGCGGCUACCUGGACAAUUGCUGACGCUCAGGCACGAAAGCGUGGGGAGCAAAAGGGAUUAGAUACCCCUGUAGUCCACGCCCUAAACGGUGCACACUAGGUCUUGGCGGAUUCGACCCCCCCAGGGCCCAAGCUAACGCGUUAAGUGUGCCGCCUGAGGACUACGGCCGCAAGGCUA